ACGGAUGCUAUACGGCGAGUGAAGCGGCAAAGCUCAAAUUUGAAAUCGGCCCCCAGGUCGAGUUGUAAUUUGUAGAUUGUAUCUUGAGAGCGGAUUAAAGUCUGUUGGAACACAGCGCCUUAGAGGGUGACAGCCCCGUAAAAUCUAUUCUCAUUGUAAGAUACUUUCGAAGAGUCGAGUUGUUUGGGAAUGCAGCUCUAAGUGGGAGGUAAAUUCCUUCUAAAGCUAAAUAUUGACGAGAGACCGAUAGCGAACAAGUACUGUGAAGGAAAGAUGAAAAGCACUUUGAAAAGAGAGUGAAAAAGUACGUGAAAUUGUUAAAAGGGAAGGGUAUUGAAUCAGACUUGGUGCUGUUGUUCAACCAUGUUUCGGCAUGGUGUACUCAGCAGUACUAGGCCAAGGUGGGGUGUUUGGGAGUGAAAAAGAAGUAGGAACGUAACUCUUCGGAGUGUUAUAGCCUACUUUCAUAGCUCCUCAGGCGCCUCAGGACUGCGCUUCGGCAAGGACCUUGGCAUAAUGAUUCUAUACCGCCCGUCUUGAAG
rnacentral:rRNA from 1 species